CAGUAGCCGCGGUAAUACAGAGGGUGCGAGCGUUAAUCGGAUUUACUGGGCGUAAAGCGUGCGUAGGCGGCUUCUUAAGUCGGAUGUAAAAUCCCUGAGCUUAACUUAGGAAUUGCAUUCGAUACUGGGAAGCUAGAGUAUGGGAGAGGAUGGUAGAAUUCCAGGUGUAGCGGUGAAAUGCGUAGAGAUCUGGAGGAAUACCGAUGGCGAAGGCAGCCAUCUGGCCUAAUACUGACGCUGAGGUACGAAAGCAUGGGGAGCAAACAGGAUUAGAUACCCCCGUAGUCCCUGUCUCUUAUAC
rnacentral:rRNA from 1 species